rnacentral:rRNA from 1 species
GAUGAACGCUAGCUACAGGCUUAACACAUGCAAGUCGAGGGGUUUGCUUCGGCAAACGACCGGCGCACGGGUGAGUAACGCGUAUCCAACCUGCCUCUCUCAUUGGGAUAGCCCUCCGAAAGGAGGAUUAAUACCGAAUAACAUAAUGUGUUUGCAUGAAUUCAUUAUGAAAGCUCCGGCGGAGAGAGAUGGGGAUGCGUUUCAUUAGGUAGUAGGCGGGGUAACGGCCCACCUAGCCGACGAUGAAUAGGGGUUCUGAGAGGAAGGUCCCCCANACUGGAACUGAGACACGGUCCAGACUCCGUACGGGAGGCAGCAGUGAGGAAUAUUGGUCAAUGGGCGCAAGCCUGAACCAGCCAAGUAGCGUGAAGGAUGACUGCCCUAUGGGUUGUAAACUUCUUUUAUAUGGGAACAAAUGUUGGUACGUGUACUAAUUUGCGUGUACCAUAUGAAUAAGCAUCGGCUAACUCCGUG